UACGAAGGGGGCUAGCGUUGUUCGGAAUCACUGGGCGUAAAGCGCACGUAGGCGGACUUUCAAGUCAGGGGUGAAAUCCCGGGGCUCAACCUCGGAAUUGCCUUUGAUACUGUAGGUCUCGAGUCCGGAAGAGGUGGGUGGAAUCCUAGUGUAGAGGUGAAAUUCGUAGAUAUUAGGAAGAACACGGUGGCGAAGGCGGCCCACUGGUCCGGUACUGACGCUGAGGUGCGAAAGCGUGGGGAGCAAACAG
rnacentral:rRNA from 1 species